rnacentral:rRNA from 1 species
ACGCUCGACACCUACGGGAGGCAGCAGUGGGGAAUAUUGCACAAUGGGGGGAACCCUGAUGCAGCGACGCCGCGUGAGGGAAGAAGGUUUUCGGAUUGUAAACCUCUGUCUUGUGGGACGAUAAUGACGGUACCACAGGAGGAAGCCAUGGCUAACUACGUGCCAGUAGCCGCGGUAAUCUGAGCGGGCUGGCAAGGC